rnacentral:rRNA from 1 species
CCUACGGGAGGCAGCAGUGGGGAAUCUUAGACAAUGGGCGCAAGCCUGAUCUAGCCAUGCCGCGUGAGCGAUGAAGGCCUUAGGGUUGUAAAGCUCUUUUACCGGGGACGAUGAUGACGGUACCCGGAGAAUAAGCCCCGGCUAACUUCGUGCCAGCAGCCGCGGUAA